rnacentral:rRNA from 1 species
AGACCCGAAACCCGGUGAUCUAGCCAUGGGCAGGUUGAAGGUUGGGUAACACUAACUGGAGGACCGAACCGACUAAUGUUGAAAAAUUAGCGGAUGACCUGUGGCUGGGGGUGAAAGGCCAAUCAAACCGGGAGAUAGCUGGUUCUCCCCGAAAGCUAUUUAGGUAGCGCCUCGUGAAUUCAUCUCCGGGGGUAGAGCACUGUUUCGGCUAGGGGGCCAUCCCGGCUUACCAACCCGAUGCAAACUGCGAAUACCGGAGAAUGUUAUCACGGGAGACACACGGCGGGUGCUAACGUCCGUCGUGAAGAGGGAAACAACCCAGACCGCCAGCUAAGGUCCCAAAGUCAUGGUUAAGUGGGAAACGAUGUGGGAAGGCCCAGACAGCCAGGAUGUUGGCUUAGAAGCAGCCAUCAUUUAAAGAAAGCGUAAUAGCUCACUGGUCGAGUCGGCCUGCGCGGAAGAUGUAACGGGGCUAAACCAUGCACCGAAGCUGCGGCAGCGACACUAUGUGUUGUUGGGUAGGGGAGCGUUCUGUAAGCCUGUGAAGGUGGCCUGUGAGGGUUGCUGGAGGUA